rnacentral:rRNA from 1 species
CAGCCGCCGCGGGAAUACAGAGGGUGCGAGCGUUAAUCGGAUUUACUGGGCGUAAAGCGUGCGUAGGCGGCUUCUUAAGUCGGAUGUGAAAUCCCUGAGCUUAACUUAGGAAUUGCAUUCGAUACUGGGAAGCUAGAGUAUGGGAGAGGAUGGUAGAAUUCCAGGUGUAGCGGUGAAAUGCGUAGAGAUCUGGAGGAAUACCGAUGGCGAAGGCAGCCAUCUGGCCUAAUACUGACGCUGAGGUACGAAAGCAUGGGGAGCAAACAGGAUUAGAUACCCAGUAGUCCCUGUCUCUUAUACA